rnacentral:ncRNA from 1 species
UAAGUUUAAGGGCAAACCAUGUGAAAACUUGGGACGCAAAGCUAUAGGGGCUAAAAUAGCCAUUGCUAUUAUGCCAGCCAGCUGCCGUU